AGCAUGGCGGCGCCCAGGGCCGCCCGCGCGCUGCGCUGCGGAGUACCAUCGUGACAGCUGUGGCUGCGUCCUGUUUACAAAUUGCUGCUAGUCACAUUUUCAGUAGUCCUGAUGGGUUUUGCUUUCCCCUAAUACAUCCAAUUAGGAGGAAAUAUUUCUCACAAGCAGGGACUUGCUCUUCUCCUUGUAAUGACAUAGUUCUGCAAUCCAGGAAACAGUCCUGCAUGGUGUCCAUGUCCACGAUUUCCUGAUGUGGGAAAAACGUGUGGAAAGCAUCUGGAGAGGAGGAGACCCCCUUUACCAGCUUGUUUCCUGUUCUGUGACUGGCUGCCACAUAAUCUUUUCUUUGUGCAAUCAUAACUACCUGCACAGGCACUCAAGCAAUCAUCAGCAAAGAUGCUUCUUCUUUCAGGGACAAAGAAAUGCUGCUUAUAGCGUAGUUUGGCCAGCCAUGGUUUCUCCAGCUCACCAAGUUCCUAAGCACAUAAAGAAGCCAGACUAUGUGACGACAGGCAUUGUACCAGACUGGGGAGACGACAUAGAAAUUAAGAAUGAAGAUCAGAUUCAAGGGCUUCGUCAAGCCUGUCAGUUGGCCCGUCAUGUCCUGCUUCUGGCUGGAAAGGGCUUAAAGGUUGGCAUGACAACUGAAGAAAUAGAUUCCAUUGUUCAUCAUGAAAUAAUCAGACGGAAUGCCUAUCCAUCACCUCUGGGCUAUGGAGGUUUUCCAAAAUCUGUUUGUACCUCUGUAAACAACGUGGUAUGUCAUGGUAUUCCUGACAGUCGACCUCUUCAGGAUGGAGAUAUUAUCAACAUUGAUGUCACGGUGUAUUACAAUGGCUACCAUGGUGACACUUCUGAAACCUUUUUGGUGGGCAAUGUGGAUAAAUCUGGUGAAAAGUUAGUGGAGGUUGCCAGGAAAUGUAGAGAUGAAGCAAUUGCAGCUUGCAGACCAGGGGCUCCCUUCUCUGUAAUUGGAAACACAAUCAGCUCCCUGGCAUGGCAAGGCGGCUUCCACGUCUGCCCCUUCUUCGUCGGCCACGGCAUCGGGUCGUACUUUCACGGGCACCCCGAAGUGUGGCACCACGCCAAUGACAGUGAUUUGUUAAUGGAAGAGGGAAUGGCGUUCACAAUAGAGCCAAUAAUAAUGGAAGGAUCCCCUGAAUUUAAGAUUCUGGAGGACAAAUGGACUGCGAUUUCUGUAGACAAUAAAAGAUCGGCACAAUUUGAGCAUACCCUGGUGAUUACCUCAGAGGGAGCAGAAAUCCUCACUAAACUGGUGGAAGAAGCCUAAAGAUGGAGCAAGGAGUGGAGAGACUUGCUGUACUUCUGGGAUUUCAAGUUUCACUCGGGACAGGGAAGAGGUUUCUGUAAUUUCUGAGGGAAAUGACUGUUGCAUAAGUCACUCCAGGGGACAGAAAAAGCAAUUUGAGGUGUUGGCUCUCGACAUUUCUGUGUAUUACCUGCAGGGACCCCCCUCCCUGAAUACGGCUAGCACCGCGGGGCAGCCACUCAGCUUCAUCCUCCCGAGAGGAGCUUGGAAGGCCAUAAAACCUGCAAAACAAACGAUGCAGCCAAGUUUACAAAUACGCAGAGAUUAAACAUUGUGAAGGACAGUCGGCAUUGCCUGGAGGGGCAUGUGUUUUGUUCCCUUACGUUCCAUCGCCCAGCCGCGCUGCCCCUUCUGAGGGGCACUGGGGGCAGCAGGGUGUCCGGUGCGUCCCGGAGGCGCAGCAGAGGUGCCUCCCGUGGAUUUUGGCCACGCCGGGAGCCCCUGGAUAGCACCGCAGGUGCCAUGUUCCUCACCAUCGUCUGCCCUUUGCCUCCUGUCCUGCUCUUACCACGGCGUGGGAUGAGGCGGGAACGGGGCGACCGGGAGCGGGGAAACCCCGCAGCCCGCCGUGGGGGGGCUGUCGGCAGCUCCUGGUAAUCAGUGCGCCCUGAAGUCCCGCCGGUAACUCUGGCGGGACUGCGAGUUUUACUCCGCGGCGGAGCGCUGGCGGCCAGACGGAGGCAUUGAUAGCGC